rnacentral:rRNA from 1 species
UGAAACAUCUUCGGGUUGUGAGGUUAAGCGACUAAGCGUACACGGUGGAUGCCCUGGCAGUCAGAGGCGAUGAAGGACGUGCUAAUCUGCGAAAAGCGUCGGUAAGGUGAUAUGAACCGUUAUAACCGGCGAUGUCCGAAUGGGGAAACCCAGUGCAAUUCGUUGCACUAUCGUUAACUGAAUACAUAGGUUAACGAGGCGAACCGGGGGAACUGAAACAUCUAAGUACCCCGAGGAAAAGAAAUCAACCGAGAUUCCCCCAGUAGCGGCGAGCGAACGGGGAGCAGCCCAGAGUCUGAAUCAGCUUGUGUGUUAGUGGAACGGUCUGGAAAGUCCGACGGUACAGGGUGAUAGUCCCGUACACCAAAAUGCACAGGCUGUGAACUCGAAGAGUAGGGCGGGACACGUGGUAUCCUGUCUGAAUAUGGGGGGACCAUCCUCCAAGGCUAAAUACUCCUGACUGACCGAUAGUGAACCAGUACCGUGAGGGAAAGGCGAAAAGAACCCCGGCGAGGGGAGUGAAAAAGAACCUGAAACCGUGUACGUACAAGCAGUGGGAGCACCUUCGGGUGUGACUGCGUACCUUUUGUAUAAUGGGUCAGCGACUUAUAUUCUGUAGCAAGGUUAACCGUAUAGGGGAGCCGCAGGGAAACCGAGUCUUAACUGGGCGUUAAGUUGCAGGGUAUAGACCCGAAACCCGGUGAUCUAGCCAUGGGCAGGUUGAAGGUUGGGUAACACUAACUGGAGGACCGAACCGACUAAUGUUGAAAAAUUAGCGGAUGACUUGUGGCUGGGGGUGAAAGGCCAAUCAAACCGGGAGAUAGCUGGUUCUCCCCGAAAGCUAUUUAGGUAGCGCCUCGUGAACUCAUCUUCGGGGGUAGAGCACUGUUUCGGCUAGGGGGUCAUCCCGACUUACCAACCCGAUGCAAACUACGAAUACCGAAGAAUGUUAUCACGGGAGACACACGGCGGGUGCUAACGUCCGUCGUGAAGAGGGAAACAACCCAGACCGCCAGCUAAGGUCCCAAAGUCAUGGUUAAGUGGGAAACGAUGUGGGAAGGCACAGACAGCCAGGAUGUUGGCUUAGAAGCAGCCAUCAUUUAAAGAAAGCGUAAUAGCUCACUGGUCGAGUCGGCCUGCGCGGAAGAUGUAACGGGGCUAAACCAUGCACCGAAGCUGCGGCAGCGACACUAUGUGUUGUUGGGUAGGGGAGCGUUCUGUAAGCCUGCGAAGGUGUGCUGUGAGGCAUGCUGGAGGUAUCAGAAGUGCGAAUGCUGACAUAAGUAACGAUAAAGCGGGUGAAAAGCCCGCUCGCCGGAAGACCAAGGGUUCCUGUCCAACGUUAAUCGGGGCAGGGUGAGUCGACCCCUAAGGCGAGGCCGAAAGGCGUAGUCGAUGGGAAACAGGUUAAUAUUCCUGUACUUGGUGUUACUGCGAAGGGGGGACGGAGAAGGCUAUGUUAGCCGGGCGACGGUUGUCCCGGUUUAAGCAUGUAGGCUGAUUGUCCAGGCAAAUCCGGAUAAUCAAGGCUGAGGUGUGAUGACGAGGCACUACGGUGCUGAAGUAACAAAUGCCCUGCUUCCAGGAAAAGCCUCUAAGCAUCAGGUAACAUCAAAUCGUACCCCAAACCGACACAGGUGGUCAGGUAGAGAAUACCAAGGCGCUUGAGAGAACUCGGGUGAAGGAACUAGGCAAAAUGGUGCCGUAACUUCGGGAGAAGGCACGCUGGUGUGUAGGUGAAGUCCCUGCGGAUGGAGCUGAGACCAGUCGAAGAUACCAGCUGGCUGCAACUGUUUAUUAAAAACACAGCACUGUGCAAACACGAAAGUGGACGUAUACGGUGUGACGCCUGCCCGGUGCCGGAAGGUUAAUUGAUGGGGUUAUCCGUAAGGAGAAGCUCUUGAUCGAAGCCCCGGUAAACGGCGGCCGUAACUAUAACGGUCCUAAGGUAGCGAAAUUCCUUGUCGGGUAAGUUCCGACCUGCACGAAUGGCGUAAUGAUGGCCAGGCUGUCUCCACCCGAGACUCAGUGAAAUUGAACUCGCUGUGAAGAUGCAGUGUACCCGCGGCAAGACGGAAAGACCCCGUGAACCUUUACUAUAGCUUGACACUGAACAUUGAGCCUUGAUGUGUAGGAUAGGUGGGAGGCUUUGAAGCGUGGACGCCAGUCUGCGUGGAGCCAACCUUGAAAUACCACCCUUUAAUGUUUGAUGUUCUAACGUUGGCCCCUGACCGGGGUUGCGGACAGUGUCUGGUGGGUAGUUUGACUGGGGCGGUCUCCUCCCAAAGCGUAACGGAGGAGCACGAAGGUUAGCUAAUCCUGGUCGGACAUCAGGAGGUUAGUGCAAUGGCAUAAGCUAGCUUGACUGCGAGCGUGACGGCGCGAGCAGGUGCGAAAGCAGGUCAUAGUGAUCCGGUGGUUCUGAAUGGAAGGGCCAUCGCUCAACGGAUAAAAGGUACUCCGGGGAUAACAGGCUGAUACCGCCCAAGAGUUCAUAUCGACGGCGGUGUUUGGCACCUCGAUGUCGGCUCAUCACAUCCUGGGGCUGAAGUAGGUCCCAAGGGUAUGGCUGUUCGCCAUUUAAAGUGGUACGCGAGCUGGGUUUAGAACGUCGUGAGACAGUUCGGUCCCUAUCUGCCGUGGGCGCUGGAGAAUUGAGGGGGGCUGCUCCUAGUACGAGAGGACCGGAGUGGACGCAUCACUGGUGUUCGGGUUGUCAUGCCAAUGGCACUGCCCGGUAGCUAAAUGCGGAAGAGAUAAGUGCUGAAAGCAUCUAAGCACGAAACUUGCCCCGAGAUGAGUUCUCCCUGAGACUAUAAGUCUCCUGAAGGAACGUUAAAGACGAUGACGUUGAUAGGCCGGGUGUGUAAGCGCAGCGAUGCGUUGAGCUAACCGGUACUAAUGAACCGUGAGGCUUAACCUU